GAUGAACGCUGGCGGCGUGCCUAAUACAUGCAAGUCGAGCGACCAGACGAGGAUCUUCCUCCUCUAACGUUAGCGACGGGCGGGUGAGUCACACGUAGCUAACCUCCCUAUACGACUGAACUCACUUCGACAAGCCGUAGUUCCUACCGUAUACCAUGGUGUACCGCAUGGUUCAUCAGUGAAAGUCGGUCUUCCUUUCACUUAUAGAUGCAUCCGCGGUGCAUUAGUUAGUUGGUGAGGUAACGGCUCACCAAGGCAACGAUGCGUAGCCGACCUGAGAGGGUGAUCAGCCACACUGGAACUGAGACACGGCCCAGACUCCUACGGGAGGCAGCAGUAGGGAAUCUUGCGCAAAGGGCGAAAGCGUGACGGAGCAACGCCGCGUGAGUGAAGAAGGUCUUCGGAUCGUAAAACUCUUUUAUGAGGGAAGAACAAAUGUGGAAGAAAAGAUGCACGGAUUGACGGUACCUAAACAGGAAGCCACGGCUAACUACGUG
rnacentral:rRNA from 1 species